AUGGAGGAAAAAAGAAAUGAUCAAAAUUCCUUUGUGGAGAGAAGAGGAACUCUUUUUUUUCACUGGCUUCUUUCCAUGUGUUACAUUCUAAUGGGAACUUAUCAUUUCUUUCUCACCACGAAAAUUUCAUUUAUCACUGAAACAACAGUGUAUAUAGCAAUCUGCAGAAAAACCAACACCAGAGUCCUGAAGAGUGAUCUGAGCUUACAAAACAAACAGGAGUCUGAGUGUGCUGAGAGAUCUACACUCAAACAAUUGGGACCCUCAGGUGAUUGCAAAAUUUGGAGGUAAGCCAAGCCUGCCAUUUAUUUUCUGGUUUGUUUGUUUGUUUUCAAGCACAGGUGUUGUGAGAUUUUUUUCUAUUAUGUUCUUGAGUUUUUUUUUUCCCCCAGCAGAGUAAUACACUAUUCC
rnacentral:lncRNA from 1 species